rnacentral:rRNA from 1 species
GACAGAGGGGGCAAGCGUUGCUCGGAAUUACUGGGCGUAAAGGGCGCGUAGGCGGUAUGGCAAGUCGGUCGUGAAAUCCCUCGGCUCAACCGAGGAACGUCGAUCGAUACUGCUGUUCUUGAGGAUUGCAGAGGAGACUGGAAUUCCCGGUGUAGCGGUGAAAUGUGUAGAGAUCGGGAGGAACACCGGUGGCGAAAGCGGGUCUCUGGGCAAUUCCUGACGCUGAGGCGCGAAAGCGUGGGGAGCAAACGGG